rnacentral:snRNA from 1 species
AUCGCUUCUGGGCCUUUUGCCUAAGCCCAAGUGUAGUAUCUGUUCUUAUCAAGUUUAAUAUCUGGUAUGUCCUCUAUCUGUGGACAAUAUAGUAAAUGGAUUUUUUGGAGCUGAGAGAGGGACUAGGAGCUUGCUCCGUCCACUGCAUGCAUCGACGUGGUAUUGCAGUACCUCCAGGAACAGUGCACCCCCC